ACAAAAGAAACAACCAUUUAUGGUUUAGACAAAAAAAAACAACCAUUUAUGGUUCUAUGACUACUAGAAUUGGAAAUGGUUACUAUUAUGAAGGAUAAUCAUAUAAGGAAAAGAGAAAAAUCUGACCCACUAGGUACGGUCAUUGAAUCAGUUGAUCUCUUGGCCCUAGUAGCUAUGCUAGCUCUGCUCAAGGAAGAAAAUGACAAAGGAGAAUCAUCAGCUUCAGAAACUUUACAUUCUUGAUACACUUACGACCUAGGCUCAACGUAAGACCAAGCUCGAGCUCAUUCUCUGCCGGAGAAAAUAAUUCUCGCAGAGACGACAAGACUCUC
rnacentral:lncRNA from 1 species